UCAACACCGGCGCCGUACUUUUGAUUCACCGCAGCGAGACACCAGCAUAUUGGUACAGUACUCCCGAAAAAAGGCAGAGUGACAGCGGCUAGAGAGAGACAGGAAGACAGCUUCACACAACAUGGUGGAAACUCAGGUGCCACAGUUUAUACGUGACCAUGUUGACUCCAUGCACCUCUGACCAUGGAGAUUGGCUGGCGCGGUACUCAAUCUCCUUUCUGAUAAUGGGGCCAUCUCCCAGGAUAGAGUUGGUGUUGAGCUGGAUGAUCAGCUGGUCACCACGCUGAAAGGGGAGACUCUGCAUCACUGACUGGUAAAAACUGGCCAAACCACGGAUUAAUUCCGUAGCCCGCCGGUCAAAUGUCACUUACUGGCAGAUCCAAG